rnacentral:rRNA from 1 species
GACGAACGCUGGCGGCGUGCUUAACACAUGCAAGUCGAACGGAAAGGCCCUGCUUUUGUGGGGUGCUCGAGUGGCGAACGGGUGAGUAACACGUGAGUAACCUGCCCUUGACUUUGGGAUAACUUCAGGAAACUGGGGCUAAUACCGGAUAGGAGCUCCUGCUGCAUGGUGGGGGUUGGAAAGUUUCGGCGGUUGGGGAUGGACUCGCGGCUUAUCAGCUUGUUGGUGGGGUAGUGGCUUACCAAGGCUUUGACGGGUAGCCGGCCUGAGAGGGUGACCGGCCACAUUGGGACUGAGAUACGGCCCAGACUCCUACGGGAGGCAGCAGUGGGGAAUAUUGCACAAUGGGCGGAGGCCUGAUGCAGCAACGCCGCGUGCGGGAUGACGGCCUUCGGGUUGUAAACCGCUUUCGCCUGUGACGAAGCGUGAGUGACGGUAAUGGGUAAAGAAGCACCGGCUAACGACG